UUUCAGCUUCCACCAUGGGAUGAUACAGCAUGAAGGCCCUCACCAGAUAUGCACCCCUUGAUUUUGGACUUCCCAGACUCCAGAACUGACAUUGUAUCUCCUUCCAUAAAAAGGUGGAGUCUGCCUCCCUAUCCUUUGAAUUCGGACUGGCAUCGUCACUUGCGUUGGACAAGGUAUAUGGUAGUAGUGUUGAUGUGCGAGUUUUGAGCUUAGAUCAUUGGAGGUCUUCCCCUUUCUUUUUCAGAUCUCUGUGGUUACUCUGUGAAUUGGUCUGUACAGGCCCACUUGAGUACAGAUGAGCCAUUUCAGCUAAGCCUACAAGACACUUCCAGCUAAACCUAGCCCAAAUUGCCAACUUGCAGAAUCUGUCUUCAUCAGGAAGAUCUGUUUGAUGUAGCAAACAGCAUCCUCAACAACAUCCUUAUAGUACAAGUCAUGUGGGUUAUUUUAAAAAUGAGACUUAUUCUCAGUGCUGCACUCUCAAGAAUGAUAGAAUCUGGGCUAUCCCUGUGACUUGCUUUGACUAACGGAAUGUGACAGAAUGACGUUGUGCAACAUCCAAAUCAGGACUUAAGAAACUGUAGGCAGCCAUCAUGCUGUGAACGCAAGCUGUGUGGAGAGACUAAGUGGAGGUGAAUGGAGUCAGUUCAGUCAACAGCCCUACCUGAUAUUUCAGUCCAUAACUAGCCCUGUGUGUCAGCCCUGUGAACAGGUCGUCUUGGACUUUUCACCCCAGUUGAGAAUAAUGACUACAUCCUCAGCUGAUAGCACAUGGAACAGAGGAACUACCUAGCUUAGCUGGGCCCAUAUUGCAGAAUUGUGAGAGAUCAUGAAAAG
rnacentral:lncRNA from 1 species